AGCAGUAGCCGCGGGAAUACGUAGGUGGCAAGCGUUGUCCGGAAUUACUGGGCGUAAAGCGUGCGCAGGCGGUUCGUUAAGACAGAUGUGAAAUCCCCGGGCUUAACCUGGGAACUGCAUUUGUGACUGGCGGGCUAGAGUAUGGCAGAGGGGGGUAGAAUUCCACGUGUAGCAGUGAAAUGCGUAGAGAUGUGGAGGAAUACCGAUGGCGAAGGCAGCCCCCUGGGCCAAUACUGACGCUCAUGCACGAAAGCGUGGGGAGCAAACAGGAUUAGAUACCCCUGUAGUCCCUGUCUCUUAUAC
rnacentral:rRNA from 1 species